rnacentral:tRNA from 1 species
GGAUCCGUAGCUCAACGGCAGAGCAGCGGACUCAUAAUCCGUUGGUUGAAGGUUCGAAUCCUUCCGGAUCCACCA